rnacentral:misc_RNA from 1 species
AGGACAACAACAAAAAUUUGCUUUUCCACUCUUUCAAAACAAAAGCACUUCCAGAUUCUCCAAAGAAACACUGCACUAGCAAUGAUUAAAUAAUUCAGUACAUCCACGAAGUCAAAAUCCUUUUUAACUGUGCCAUUAAAAAACCAUCUAUUGUAGAACUCGAAAUAUCUAAUCUUUAUCCAAAAAAGGAUGAAGAGCUUGAAGGAAAAAGGCUCAUUCCCAGCCUGUAGCACCAGAGGUAGGGGCAACAUCUGGUACUGGUAGAGGAACUGGUGCAGGGGCUGCUGCUGCAUCCCAUCCGCCAUCAGCUGCUCCAUCUCCAGCCCAACCACCACCUACUGCAGGUGCUGCAGCAUCUGCAGUCCAUUGCGCCUCAGGGAUUUGGCUACUAGUCCAGUCACCACCAAGGGCAGCACUCGCAGAGUAGUCUGCAUAAUCUGCAAUUGCUGGCACUUCCUCUUCUUGCUCCUUUGCCUCUUCAGGCUCUCUGUAGAAGAAGAGAUCAACCAUAACAUCCCAUUUAGGUCCUUGAUUAAUGGCCCCACGCAUCUGGAGUACCAUCCUUGCUAAGAUCCAGAAAAGAACACCAAUGCUGUGCUUUCCUUUGUUAUUGGCAGGGAUACCAAUGUCAACAUAACGCAUUGGAGAAUCAGUGUCACAGAAAGCAAUAGUUGGGAUGUUUCCAAGUGCAGCUUCCUUGAUUGGCUGAUGGUCAGUUCUUGGAUCAGUCAGAAUCAAGAGUCGUGGCUCACUGUAUGAGGUCUGAAGCUGAUUGGUAAAAGUUCCAGGGGUGUGACGUCCAGCAAUAGCAUGUGCACCAGUA